rnacentral:rRNA from 1 species
UACGUAGGGUGCAAGCGUUAAUCGGAAUUACUGGGCGUAAAGCGUGCGCAGGCGGUCAUGCAAGACAGAUGUGAAAUCCCCGGGCUCAACCUGGGAAUUGCAUUUGUGACUGCAUGGCUUGAGUGCGGCAGAGGGGGAUGGAAUUCCGCGUGUAGCAGUGAAAUGCGUAGAUAUGCGGAGGAACACCGAUGGCGAAGGCAAUCCCCUGGGCCUGCACUGACGCUCAUGCACGAAAGCGUGGGGAGCGAACAGG